rnacentral:lncRNA from 1 species
AUUUCUAUGAACAGGUGUGAUCUGUAGUACCUACUGAAGAGGUGCCGCCCUUUUCUCCUAUUAUUGCAAUGCAGACAGACAGUCAGUGUCUGCUAUCCAGACGGAGAGGAGGUUCCCAGCACACAGUUCCAUGCAACAAAAGGCUCUCCUAAAUACGAGGGCAAAUUUAGCAGGAAGAGGACUGGGUUCAGGUAACAUAAUGCCUGAAUUUUGAAAAGCACUGCUUCCUAUUUAAAUUAGAUUGAUGGACCUUUCAGAGUAAUUUCAAGAAUACAUUGAUGCU